rnacentral:rRNA from 1 species
GAUGAACGCUGGCGGCGUGCUUAACACCUGCAAGUCGACCGGUGAAGGCGGAGCUUGCUAUGAUGGAUCAGUGGCGAACGGGAGCGUAAUACGUGAGCAAUAUGUCCCUGAAUCCGGGAUAAGCGCUGGACCCGGCGUCUAAUACCGGAUCCGACCCGCGCCGGCAUCUUCAGCAGCUGGAAAGUAUUUCGGUCAGGGAUGAGCUCGCGAUCUAUCAGUUUGUUGGUGAAGUAAUUGCUCACCAAAGCGUCGACGGGUAGCCGGCCUGAGAGGGUGACCGGCCACGCAGGGACUGAGACACGGCCCAUACUCCUGCGGGAGGCAGCAGUCGGGAAUAGUGCACAAUGGGCGAAAGCCUGAUGCAGCAACGCCGCGUGAGAGACGACGACCUUCGAGGUAUAGACCUCUUUGAGCAGGUAGGAAGCGAAAGUCACGGGGCCUUCAGGAGAAGCGCCGGCUAACUACGUG